CAGAGUUAGCAAAGACUCCCUAAACCCUUGUGAACCUACCUUCUACCGUUGCUUCGGCGGGGAGCCCAGCGACCCGGCCGUGCCUCCUAGCGAGGUGCCCGCCGGAGGAUACCCUUAAAACUCUUGACAUUAGUGGCCUCUCUGAGUAUUAUACUGAAUAAGUCA
rnacentral:misc_RNA from 1 species